CUGUCCACACUUAAAUAACACUACAAUUGACACAUAUUCAUAUACAAAUACCUAUAAACACAACAGCAAGUAAAAUUAACAUAAAUUUAAUACGUACUUGCCCACUGUUCAUUGCAGUAUAUGGAGAAUCAAGUUCUUGAAAUGAAUGUUUCAAGAAUCAACUGAAUCAUCACCAGUAUAUAUAAACUUAACAUUUCUACUUCAAGCCUAUCUAUCAAUUUUUCAUAAUGAAUUGCUUAUUAGUUUUUUUUUUUUGUUUACGAAAAUCUUAACUGUUGAUUCUCAACAAUUAAGCACCUAUUUACUGGCCAUACAAUGGCUGCCCUCGUUUUGUCAAACCCCCAACAGCGGGUGUGCACAUCCCCAAACAGUUCAAAAAACACGGACUGUGGGGGAGGGAUUCUCAAGAAAAGUCCGGAUCGUCUGCUGUGGUAAUCUCCAAACAGUUUAAAAUACACGGACUGUGGGGGAGGAAUUCUCAAAAAGAGUCUGAAUCGUCUGUGGUUUCCUGCAAUGACUCCUGCGGCGAUCCAAAACGACGUCGUUUUGGAUUUUUUUUUGUGUGCCUCCUUUUGCUUUUGAGCCUCUUUUCCUUCUCUCUUAGCUCUCAAAUCAGAGAUGAAGACGCCCUCCUCCUCCUCUUCUUCUUCUUCUUCUUCUUCUUCCCUGAAAUCAACCGCCUUCACUCUUCCUACAGAGAUAGAGGAGCAACAAUCAUACAAUUGGUGGAUUCAACCCAGCACCAUCACCAAAAUUUGUAUAUACAAGUAGGGAAUGCUGUUCCAUUUCCAGUAUCCAUGGUAUAUACAAGUAGGGAAUGCUGUUGCAUUGCCAGUGUCCAUGGCAUUGAGAAGUAUAUUGGCAAAGGGAAGCCAAGGAGUCUCAAAUAAUGAACCCUUGACAACAACUGAUCUGAAAUUCCCGGAGUCUCGCACAAUUGUCUGCGUGAAGAGCAUUGGAUUAAUUAACCAUUCUUAAAGUGAGUUCAAUCUUGGCAAAAUUAUCUACCCCUCUUAAAGUAAUGUUGAACCAGAUCUGAAUUUCAUUCAAAAGAAAUACCAAAAUUGCAGAUACGAACACUGCUGGAGCAAUUCAAGAUCAGAUCCGAACCACACUUAAGCCAAUCAAACUCAUAUCAGUACAAAUCAAACCACUUCGAACACAAAUUUGAGAGAUUCAGACCAAAAGAGGGCCUCAAUCAAACCUUCUGAACACAUAUAUGAAGGAAUCGAACCAAUUUGAUCAAAAAGAAGGCUUCACUCUAGCCUUUUGAACACAAAUACGAAGGCAGCGAUCCAAUCGAACCAGAUCCGAGGGGCUUCAGAAAUCCCUCCCACACUAAUCGAGCACAGAUUCAGAGUAUUUUGGAGCAUUCAACACACAGAAGGAAGCUAAUUGAACUCUAAAAAUCAUUCGUGAUGCUCGUUCAACAUUCAAUCUGAGAGCGAUUUGCAUUUCAGCAAGCAGAUUGAAGUUCUUAUUGAAAUUCACACAAAAAAUUGAUCAAUUACGGUUCGAAAUGUUUGAGAGAGAGAGGAGGAGGAGGAGGCUGAGGAACUUAACAGUUUCUUCAUCUUCGUCUCUCUGAUUUGAGAGCUUUGGAGAGAAGGAAACGAGGC